AGUGAACGCUGGCGGUAGGCCUAACACAUGCAAGUCGAACGGCAGCACAGUAAGAGCUUGCUCUUACGGGUGGCGAGUGGCGGACGGGUGAGGAAUACAUCGGAAUCUACUUUUUCGUGGGGGAUAACGUAGGGAAACUUACGCUAAUACCGCAUACGACCUACGGGUGAAAGCAGGGGAUCUUCGGACCUUGCGCGAUUGAAUGAGCCGAUGUCGGAUUAGCUAGUUGGCGGGGUAAAGGCCCACCCAGGCGACGAUCCGUAGCUGGUCUGUGAGGAGGAUCAGCGCCACUGGAAGUGAGACACGGGCCAGACUCCGAGGGGAGGCAGCAGGUGGGAAUAGUGGACAAUGGGGGCAAGCCUGAUCCAGCCAUACCGCGUGGGUGAAGAAGGCCUUCGGGUUGUAAAGCCCUUUUGUUGGGAAAGAAAAGCAGCAGGUUAAUACCCCGCUGUUCUGACGGUACCCAAAGAAUAAGCACCGGCUAACUUCGUG
rnacentral:rRNA from 1 species